AGUGAACGCUGGCGGUAGGCCUAACACAUGCAAGUCGAACGGCAGCACAGUAAGAGCUUGCUCUUACGGGUGGCGAGUGGCGGACGGGUGAGGAAUACAUCGGAAUCUACUUUUUCGUGGGGGAUAACGUAGGGAAACUUACGCUAAUACCGCCUACGACCUACGGGUGAAAGCAGGGGAUCUUCGGACCUUGCGCGAUUGAAUGAGCCGAUGUCGGAUUAGCUAGUUGGCGGGGUAAAGGCCCACCAAGGCGACGAUCCGUAGCUGGUCUGAGAGGAUGUUCAGCCACACUGGAACUGAGACACGGGCCAGACUCCUACGGGAGGCAGCAGUGGGGAAUAUUGGACAAUGGGCGCAAGCCUGAUCCAGCCAUACCGCGUGGGUGAAGAAGGCCUUCGGGUUGUAAAGCCCUUUUGUUGGGAAAGAAAAGCAGCAGGUUAAUACCCCGCUGUUCUGACGGUACCCAAAGAAUAAGCACCGGCUAACUUCGU
rnacentral:rRNA from 1 species